GGGGCUGUGGCGCAGUGGUAGCGCAUCUGACUGGCAGUCAGAGGGUCAGGGGUUCGAAUCCCCUCAGCUCCA
rnacentral:tRNA from 1 species